AGUGAACGCUGGCGGUAGGCCUAACACAUGCAAGUCGAACGGCAGCACAGAGGAGCUUGCUCCUUGGGUGGCGAGUGGCGGACGGGUGAGGAAUACAUCGGAAUCUACCUUGUCGUGGGGGAUAACGUAGGGAAACUUACGCUAAUACCGCAUACGACCCCAUACCGAGAGGUAUAAGGUGAAAGUAGGGGAUCGCAAGACCUUACGCGAUUGGAUGAGCCGAUGUCGGAUUAGCUAGUUGGCGGGGUAAGGCCCACCGAGGCGACGAUCCGUAGCUGGUCUGAGAGGAUGAUCAGCC
rnacentral:rRNA from 1 species